GAAUAUUGCACAAUGGGCGAAAGCCUGAUGCAGCGACGCCGCGUGAGGGAUGACGGCCUUCGGGUUGUAAACCUCUUUCAGCAGGGACGAAGCGAAAGUGACGGUACCUGCAGAAGAAGCACCGGCCAACUACGUGCCAGCAGCCGCGGUAAUACGUAGGGUGCGAGCGUUGUCCGGAAUUACUGGGCGUAAAGAGCUCGUAGGCGGUUUGUCGCGUCGUCUGUGAAAUCCCGCAGCUCAACUGCGGGCUUGCAGGCGAUACGGGCAGACUCGAGUACUGCAGGGGAGACUGGAAUUCCUGGUGUAGCGGUGAAAUGCGCAGAUAUCAGGAGGAACACCGGUGGCGAAGGCGGGUCUCUGGGCAGUAACUGACGCUGAGGAGCGAAAGCGUGGGUAGCGAACAG
rnacentral:rRNA from 1 species